UACGAAGGGGGCUAGCGUUGCUCGGAAUCACUGGGCGUAAAGCGCACGUAGGCGGCUUCUUAAGUCAGGGGUGAAAUCCUGGAGCUCAACUCCAGAACUGCCUUUGAUACUGAGGAGCUUGAGUCCGGGAGAGGUGAGUGGAACUGCGAGUGUAGAGGUGAAAUUCGUAGAUAUUCGGAAGAACACCAGUGGCGAAGGCGGCUCACUGGCCCGGUACUGACGCUGAGGUGCGAAAGCGUGGGGAGCAAACAGG
rnacentral:rRNA from 1 species